AACGCUGAGAAAAGAACAUCCUGCUUCUGGGAAAUUUUUAUAUAUAUCUCCAUAUAUAUAUAUAUAUUUUAUAUAUAUAUAUACAUAUGUACAGAAAUGCAGAUGAAGACAUUUUAAGUGGUUCUAAUACUUGCAUGAGUGUCAUACUAAACCGUCUGCUUUCAGCGAGAUUGCUUUCCAGUGUUUGUAUAAAGUUGGAAAAGUGCCACAGUGGAGAUGUCCAAAUACGUUUCACAGUCAGAGAGAAGGAUCUAGAACACAAGGGGCAGUCUGACAUGGCAAUCAAAGCAGAAUAUUCUCCCCAGCUCUGCUUCUGACCAGAAUUAAUCAGAUACAAUGAGCCUAAUUUUCAUGGCCAAAAGAAGUUUGUUUUUUUCCCAGGGUUAGCUGCAAACAUAUGAUAAGUUCAUCUCACAGUGCUGUCCAUACCCACCUCCAGGCCCCAGUCCUGCUCUUCAGGACAGAUGUCACCAGGAGCCAUGACCACUUCAGCUCACUGAAGCAUGAGAGAAGGAUGAUGUAGAAUUGAUCUCAGAGACUGUGCAUUUUAGUUUCACACCAAUCUACCUGAGAGAAAUAUGGAGACAACAUAUAGCUUAAGCCCCCUAGGAAUGCAGGACCAGUGGGAAGUGCUUCUGAGGGCCUGUUCUAUCCACAGAAUUUGAAUUUUGAAUGUAAUCUGAAUGUCUCCUCUCAACGUGAUCAGAAAAUAGUUUCUUGCUAGCUGUAUUAUUUCAGUUAGUAGAUUUUGUUGCCUUAGUUUUGACUGCUUUUUUCCCCGCUCAAUGUGAACACUUGCCUUUGCCUUGCUAGAAGGAGGAGCAGUGACCAUAGCAAUUUAAUACGUGAUGUUAAAUGAUUUCUCUCUUGGAACAGGGAAGAAUAGAUUACAAAUGUUUUAGUACCUGUGAGUAAGCUGAAACUGUUUAUGAGUGAAAGAAAAUAAAAAGAAUUAAUGAUGCCACUCACUCCUUUCUUACAGGUUUAACAUAUACUACAUUUCUGUGUUAUUUCCACUUCAUCCAAAUGUUUCUAGCUAAGCUGUCCAAAUCAAGCUUUUUUAGAAUUUGUUCUCUUUGUAGCAUAGGUACACUGAGCUUUGCCAUUUACUGGAACUCUCUAUUCUUUUUUUUUUUUUUUUCCUUGAAGACCAGGAUAUGCCUAGACUGUGGGAAGUAGUUCGUGAGGAAAAAUGAGAGAGGAAAAAAAUAAAAUCUCUUCCUGACUAGG